GCCGCGGGGGCCGGAAAGAGGGAAACGGAAGUGUUGAUGGCCCUGGGAGUGUCCACCCGAGUCGGUGGUGCGAUCCCUGGACACUUGCCAUGGAGGGGUCUGGCGAGCUGCAGCUGGAUGCUAAGACCGAGGUCACCAACCAGCUUCUAGAUUUUCAGUGGAAACUGGGUAUGGCUGUGAGCUCGGACAGUUGCAGAUCACUUAAGUAUCCUUAUGUUGCAGUGAUGCUGAAAGUGGCAGAUCAUUCCGGCCAAGUAAAGAACAAGUGUUUUGAAAUGACAAUUCCACAGUUUCAGGAUAGCUCCUAUCACCCUGAAAUGCAGUCUUUCACGACAUUUAAAGUGAUUUGAGGCCUGGGAACCGAGCUGUCAUUUUUGUUUUUAUCUUCAGUUUCUAGGACAGUGAAUUUCUACAGACAGUUCAAGGAAAUUGCUGCCAUUAUUGAAACUGUGUGAAAACUGAUUACUUGGUUGAUAAAUUGCUGUCAUCAUUCUAAAAUCAUGGACCUCACUUUUUAUAACAGAGCCGAAUAAGGAUCAAAUGAUAUUUAUUGAAUGAAAAUUACACUUUUGUGUUUCAUUUUUUUUUUAAAUAAUAAAAAAAUCAGACAAACAAGAAUUAGGUAGUGGAAAUUGAUGCACAACUUUGUGAAUGUACUAAAAGACUGAAUUGAACACUUUAAAGGGAGAAGUGAGUGGUAUGUGAAUUACAUCUCAAUAAAAAAAAACUCAGAUAAACAUUUACAUGAUUGAAAACAUUGAAAAGGAUAACAUUACAAAUUCAAUUUUAUAACAUUCUUUUAUUAGAAAAGCAGUCAGUGAGAACAACGAGGGUGCUUUUCUCAAACAUUUGAAAGCAGGUUAGGACUGACCAUUGCUCCCUCAUGUUAGCCAAGCAUUCAGUAGUUUCUGUUAUUAAUAUUUAUAGAAAGUUCAAAUAUAUGCAUAGAGAUAGAAAGAUAAGUUUUAUUCUGAGUUCUAUAUGUAACUGAGUUAACCUCAUAGUACAGGUUUCUGUGUUAGAUAAUCUCCCUUGAAUUUAGAUUUAUAAACUAGUUAAAAUAUUCCAUAAAGCCACAGCAAUCAACAUGUAUAGCACUGCUUAGGAAUAAACAAAUGGAUCACUGGGAUAGAGUACGUGGCUUAGAAAUAGAUCAAGACAUUUGGAACAAGGAUGGUAUUUCAGUUAGGUGGGACAAUGUCUUAUUUAAUAAAGGAUGAUAACAGUCACAACACAUGCAAAGGAAAAUUCCAGAUGGAUUAAUGGCUUAAGUAACAAAGAUAAAAAUGAGGUUUUAGAGGAUAUUUAUGUUAGCCAAGGCUUGGGAAAAGCAAGCUAUAAUAUAAAACAUAAAUAUAUUUGAAAAAUAAGAAUUAGCAACUUUUAUGUAGAAAAAAAAAGAGCCAUAAACAGACAAAAGAAGAAAGCUAUCUAUGUUGAUAUGUAAGUGAAUCCUUUAUCUGGAAAGCAAAUUGCUUUAAAUAUUUCAAGUAGGAGGAGAUUUUAUAUAAGAAAUUAUCUAAUUUCUUGUAUAAAGAAGUUAGUUCACUAAACUGUCAGAAAGACUGAGGGAACAAGUCAGGAGAAAUCAUUGCUGGCUUUAGAAAAUCCAGUAGUGCAAGAAUUUCAGGGAAAGCUACUGCCAGUCAUCCCUCCACAAUGCAAGACAUCACCUGAAAGCCACUGUACGUGCCAUUUCUGCCAUCUGUCAACGUGUAAUGAAAUAAAGGCUGCUUGCUUCUUUACCCUCCCA